rnacentral:rRNA from 1 species
UGGGGAAUUUUCCGCAAUGGGCGAAAGCCUGACGGAGCAAUACCGCGUGAGGGAUGACGGCCUAUGGGUUGUAAACCUCUUUUUUCAGGGAGGAAAGGAUCACUGAUCCUUGACGUGUACCUGAGGAAUAAGCAUCGGCUAACUCCGUGCCAGCAGCCGCGGUAAGACGGAGGAUGCAAGUGUUAUCCGGAAUCACUGGGCGUAAAGCGUCUGUAGGUGGUCAAAUAAGUCAACUGUUAAAUCUUGAGGCUCAACCUCAAAAUCGCAGUCGAAACUAUUCGACUAGAGUAUAGUAGGGGUAAAGGGAAUUUCCAGUGGAGCGGUGAAAUGCGUAGAGAUUGGAAAGAACACCGAUGGCGAAGGCACUUUACUGGGCUAUUACUAACACUGAGAGACGAAAGCUAGGGUAGCAAAUGGG